rnacentral:snRNA from 1 species
GUACUUGCAUUGGCAGUACACAUAAUAAAAUUGGAAAUGUACAGAGAAGAUUAGCAUGCCCCCAGCACAAGGAUAACAGGUAAAAAAAUCGGUCUAAACAGAUUUUA